rnacentral:rRNA from 1 species
GAUGAACGCUGGCGGCGUGCGUAAUACAUGCAAGUCGAGCGAACAGAUAAGGAGCUUGCUCCUUUGACGUUAGCGGCGGACGGGUGAGUAACACGUGGGUAACCUACCUAUAAGACUGGGAUAACUUCGGGAAACCGGAGCUAAUACCGGAUAACAUUUGGAACCGCAUGGUUCUAAAGUGAAAGAUGGUUUUGCUAUCACUUAUAGAUGGACCCGCGCCGUAUUAGCUAGUUGGUAAGGUAACGGCUUACCAAGGCAACGAUACGUAGCCGACCUGAGAGGGUGAUCGGCCACACUGGAACUGAGACACGGUCCAGACUCCUACGGGAGGCAGCAGUAGGGAAUCUUCCGCAAUGGGCGAAAGCCUGACGGAGCAACGCCGCGUGAGUGAUGAAGGGUUUCGGCUCGUAAAACUCUGUUAUUAGGGAAGAACAAAUGUGUAAGUAACUGUGCACGUCUUGACGGUACCUAAUCAGAAAGCCACGGCUAACUACGUG